UACAGAGGGUGCUAGCGUUGUUCGGAAUCAUUGGGCGUAAAGCGUGCGUAGGCGGUCCGCGAAGUCUGAUGUGAAAGCCCCGGGCUCAACCUGGGAACUGCAUUGGAAACUAACGGGCUCGAGUGUGGCAGAGGGGGGUGGAAUUCCACGUGUAGCAGUGAAAUGCGUAGAGAUGUGGAGGAACACCGAUGGCGAAGGCAGCCCCCUGGGCUGAGAUUGACGCUCAGGCACGAAAGCGUGGGGAGCAAACAGG
rnacentral:rRNA from 1 species